GCGGGUAUCGUAUAAUGGUUAUUACCUCAGCCUUCCUGGCUGAUGAUGCAGGUUCGAUUCCUGCUGUCCGCU
rnacentral:tRNA from 1 species